rnacentral:misc_RNA from 1 species
GUACGGCUUCAAGGCCAGGCGGGCGCGGUAUGGCCCUUUCUGCGGGCACGCAGAUGUAUUGCGCGUAUCCACCGGCGCCGGGCGUCGCAAGCACCGGGGUUCCGACUGCAACCGACGUGACCCCUUUUCCAAUCGCGGCGAUCNAACUUCUGCUCCCAGGAUGAACGGAGGGGGCGACGGCUCCGGAUAUUUGUCGCCGCGCCGACGCAUCACGUCAGCGAAAUUGAGCCCGACGGCUUCGACUUUGAUCAGGACUUCUCCGUCCUUGGGCGUCGGGUCAGGCACAUCCUCAUAGACAAGGACUUCAGGGCCGCCGGU